GUAAAUUCCUUUCAGUCAGACAACAAAUUAUGGCGGCGAAUGACAGUGAAUUGUGAAACGGCAAGCUAGUUUUGUCUCGUUUUCAAUUUGUAUCGUGCAUUGAAGUGUUCCAUCACAAUCGUUUUUCCGUUGCACAAAUAAAUCGCCAUUUUGCGAUGACCAAGAAUUCUAAUUCGCAGGGCAGCAACACAUCCGCUGCUAAUGCACUAGCACUAGGCGCGAUGGCAGUUGUGGCGGUCGGAACAUUUCUCUUUACUUGGUGGCAAGAAAGGGAGGUUCCCCCACCGCACGGAGCUCAAGGCGCGAAUCGGCGAAGAUAGUAGCAGAACAUAGUGCAGCGGAAAAAUAAUUUUGUUCGCAAAAUAAUACUUACGUGUACACGCUUGUGUUUACUGUCAAGUAAAAUUAUAUUAUAAAUCAUUGAGA